GACGAACGCUGGCGGCGUGCUUAACACAUGCAAGUCGAACGGAAAGGCCCUGCUUUUGUGGGGUGCUCGAGUGGCGAACGGGUGAGUAACACGUGAGUAACCUGCCCUUGACUUUGGGAUAACUUCAGGAAACUGGGGCUAAUACCGGAUAGGAGCUCCUGCUGCAUGGUGGGGGUUGGAAAGUUUCGGCGGUUGGGGAUGGACUCGCGGCUUAUCAGCUUGUUGGUGGGGUAGUGGCUUACCAAGGCUUUGACGGGUAGCCGGCCUGAGAGGGUGACCGGCCACAUGGGGACUGAGAUACGGCCCAGACUCCUACGGGGGCAGCAGUGGGGAAUAUUGCACAAUGGGCGGAAGCCUGAUGCAGCAACGCCGCGUGCGGGAUGACGGCCUUCGGGUUGUAAACCGCUUUCGCCUGUGACGAAGCGUGAGUGACGGUAAUGGGUAAAGAAGCACCGGCUAACUACGUG
rnacentral:rRNA from 1 species